CCUACGGGAGGCAGCAGUGGGGAAUAUUGCACAAUGGGGGAAACCCUGAAGCAGCGACGCCGCGUGAGUGAAGAAGGAUUUAGGAAUGUAAAGCUCUAUUAGCAGGGAAGAAAAUGACGGUACCUGAUUAAGAAGCCCCGGCUAACUACGUGCCAGCAGCCGCGGUACUACGUAGGGGGCGAGCGUUAACCGGAGUUACUGGGCGUAAAGCGCUCGUAGGCGGUAUGUCAAGUCAAGGGUGAAAGCCCCGAGCUCAACCUGGGAACUGCCUUUGAAACUGGCAAACUGGAGUGUAUGAGAGGUUAGUGGAAUUCCAGGUGUAGGGGUGAAAUGCGUAGAUAUCAGGAGGAACAUCAGUGGCGAAGGCGACUAACUG
rnacentral:rRNA from 1 species